GAUGAACGCUGGCGGCGUGCUUAACACAUGCAAGUCGAACGGACAGUCGCCUGCUUGCAGGGGGACUCGAGUGGCGAACGAAUGAGUAACACGUGGGUGAUCUGCCCUGCACUUCGGGGUAAGCCUGGGACAAUGGGUCUAAUACCGGAUAGGACGAUGGUUCUGAUGCCAUUGUGGACAGAUUAUCGGUGUGGGAUGGGUUCGCGGCCUAUCAGGUAGUUGGUCGGGUAAUGGCCUACCAAGGCGUCGGCGGGUAGCCGGCCUGAGAGGGUAUACGGCCACCAUGGUACUGAGAGACGGAGCAGACUCCUAUGGGAGGCAGCAGUGGGGAAUAUUGCACAACGGCGGCAAGCCUGAGGCAGCGACGCCGCGUGGGUGAUGCCGGCCUUUGGGUGAUAAACUCCUUUCGCUAGGGACGAAGCGCAAGUGACGGUACCUGGAGAAGAAGCACCGGCUAACUACGUG
rnacentral:rRNA from 1 species